CUAGUAGAGUCAGCUAAUU
rnacentral:tRNA from 1 species